rnacentral:rRNA from 1 species
CUCAAUAAGAGGUCCAGCCUGCCAGUGACCCUGUUCAACGGCCGCGGUAUCCUAACCGUGCGAAGGUAGCGUAAUCACUUGUUCUUUAAAUGAGGACUAGUAUGAAUGGCAUCACGAAGGUUAUACUGUCUCCUCUCUCUAAUCAGUGAAACUAAUCUCCCCGUGAAGAAGCAGGGAUAAUCUUAUAAGACGAGAAGACCCUAUGGAGCUUUAAACUAAGAAGCAAUUGCCCUCAUACCUUUGAAAUUCCAGAAAACUAAUGAGUACAAGGCACUGUGACUUCCAGUUUUAGGUUGGGGUGACCACGGAGUAAAAACUAACCUCCGUACUGAAUAGGGGCCUUCCCUAAACUAAGGGCCACAACCCUAAGAAUCAAUACAUUGACAGCAAUUGACCCAAAAAAUUUGAUCAAUGAACCAAGUUACCCUAGGGAUAACAGCGCAAUCCACUUCAAGAGCUCCUAUCGACAAGUGGGUUUACGACCUCGAUGUUGGAUCAGGGUAUCCCAGUGGUGCAGCCGCUACUAACGGUUCGUUUGUUCAACGAUUAA